rnacentral:lncRNA from 1 species
GUCACAUGUGUCGGUGCCACAGACUGAGUCACGUGGACAAGGAGCGGGUGUGCAUGCUGGGGUGGUGUCGGCGGCUGGCGUCCUUGCAGCCAGCCCAGCUAGAGUAAGUGGAAGAGAGGACAGAAGGUGAGAUGGAUGCAGAGGCGGCCAACUGUAAAGGGGAGCUGAAAAGGUCAGUCGCCGGAGGGGAUGUGAAGCUGGCAGUAGGAGACUGCUAGGCGCCAGGAACCAAGGCUCAAGCUUAGGUCUAAGCAUGAACUGGAGCAGGAACGCUUCGCCCUUUGGAAUGUGUGUGGACAAGAAUGUGAGCAGAAAGUUUGCCGACCCCUGCUCCAGGUUAGAGAAGAGCAACAAGAGAUAUGAACUAAAAAGCCUGAAAUAAAUGUAGAUCAGUCACUUGAGCUGACAUAUGAAGCAGUCAACUUUACUCUGAGACGUUUUGUUUGAUCUUUCAAGUUUCUAAAAGUAUUUGGAAGCGGGAAACACUGUUCUUCAUAUGAGAUAAAAGGAAGAAAAAAGGACCUUAUAGUCAGGCUCAUUGUGAAAAAACUAAUAUUAAGAUAAGCUGAAGCAAUCAAAUGAGAGCAUUUGCAAAUCACUUGUUGGAGGUAAAGCUGGAAGCCUAUGUAGUUCAGGAAAAUGGAAGAUGAGAUGGCUGAGAUCCCACGAAAAGACCACGUCCAAUAGAAACUGUAAUAAAACAGAGCUCAGCUACAGGAAUUUUCAAUGAUGACAAAAUUUUAAAGACAUGCUUCUACUUUUGUAUUGACUAAAGAUCUUCAGGUUGAAAGUGUCAAGAUCUGCUUAAUAGCAUAUCCUCUGUUGCAACAUUCAAAAUCAUCAGGAUUCUUAGAUCUCAGUGAAAAAUUGAUGUUUGAAGAAUAAUUGAAGUAUUCAGUCCAUAAGGAAGCCUGAAGCUCCCUAUACACCUUGAAUUUCAUGCUAAAUAAUCUGCAAGUUCUGGAAAAUGCUGCUUAACUCUAGAAAAACUGACUAACCUUGAUCUUGGUCAGCAUAUACUUGGUUCUUUACAUAUCACUUAUCAAUGGUCAGAAAGGGAAGAAUACUUGAACUUAUCUAACACAAAAAUUCACAAUUUAACCAAUUGUUUCCCAGACACGAGGCUUACUAGAAGUGAGCCUUGUAAACUUUUAUUUAGCUGCAAUUUAAAUAACUUUACAUUUUCAGAUAUGUGUUGAAGACCCUACCAGAUGCUUUCUUCCCCUUUGAGAAGAAGCAGGAAAAGAAAACUUUCUCUAAAGGGCAACUUGACUCUUUUCACACACUGAAGACUUUGGAAGCUGGUGGCAACAACUUCAUUUGCUCCUGUGAAUUCCUCUCCUUCACUCAGGAGCAGCAAGCACUGGCCAAAGUUCUUAUCGGUUGGCCAGCAAACUACCUGUGUGACUCUCCAUCCCACGUGUGUGGCCAACAGGUUCAGGACGUCUGCCUUUUGGUGUCGGAGUGCCACAGGGUGGCACUGGUGUCUGGCAUGUGCUGUGCCCUGUUCCUGCUGAUCCUGCCCAUGGGGGUUCUGUGCCACUGUUUCCACAGCCCGUGGUACAUGAAAAUGAUGUGGGCCUGGCUCUAGGCCAAAAGGAAGCACAGGAAAGCUUGCAGCAGGGACAUCUGCUAUGACGCAUUUGUUUCUUAUAGUGAGCAGGAUGCCUACUGGGUGGAGAACCUUAUGGUCCAGGAGCUGGAGAACUUCAAUCCCCUCUUCAAGUUGUGUCUUCAUAAGUGGGACUUCAUUCCUGGCAAGUGGAUCAUUGACAAUAUCAUUGACUCCAUUGAAAAGAGACACAAAACUGUCUUUGUGCUUUCUGAAAACUUUGUGAAGAGUGAGUGGUGCAAGAAGGAACUGGACUUCUCCCAUUUCCGUCUUUUUGAUGAGAACAGUGAUGCUGCCAUUCUCAUUCUUCUGGAGCCCAUUAAGAAGCCAUUUGCCUUAGUCAAUCUGGGCUGCUAUAGCAAAAAUGCCAAUAGACUGGGUAGUUUAUAGAUAAGAGAAAUUCAUUUCUCACAGAUCUAGAGGCUGGGAAGUCCAAGAUCAAGGUGUUGGCAGAUUUGGUAUCUGGUGAGGAACUCUUCCAGGCUCAAAGAUAGCUGUCUUCUCACUGUGUUCUUGGUGGUGGAAGGGGUGAGGGAACUCUCUGAAGUUUCUUUUGGAAGGGAACUAAUCCCAUUCAUGAAGCUUCUGCCCCCAUGACCUAAUCACUCAUCAAAGGGCCCACCUCCAGUACCUCACAUUGGGGGUUAGGAUUUCAACAGAUGAAUUUCAGGAGGACACAGGCCUUCAGUCUAUGGCUAGGAUCAUUCCCCAGCAUUUCUGUUAAGCUGCAGAAGAUAAUUAACACCUAGACCUGCCUGGAGUGGCCACUAAUGAAGCUCAGCGGGAAGGGUUUUAGUUAAAGAAAACUCCUAGUUUUUAGUUCGACCAUUGUGGAAGACAGUGGUGAUUCCUCAAGGAUCUAGAACUAGAAAUACCAUUUGACCCAGCCAUCCCAUUACUGGGUAUAUACCCAAAGGAUUAUAAAUCAUGCUACUAUAAAGACACAUGCACACGUAUGUUUAUUGCGGUACUAUUCACAAUAACAAAGACUUGGAACCAACCCAAACGUCCAUCAAUGAUAGACUGGAUUAAGAAAAUGUGGCACAUAUACACCAUGGAAUACUAUGCAGCCAUAAAAAAGGAUGAGUUCAUGUCCUUUGUAGGGACAUGGAUGAAGCUGGAAACCAUCAUUAUGAGCAAACUAUCACAAGGACAAAAAACCAAACACUGCAUGUUCUCACUCAUAGGUGGGAAUUGAACAAUUCCCACCUGGACACAGGGUGGGGAACAUCACACACCAGGGCCUAACGUGGGGUGGGGGGCUGGGGGAGGGGUAGCAUUAGGAGAAAUACCUAAUGUGAAUGACGAGUUAAUGGGUGCAGCACACCAACAUGGCACAUGUAUACAUAUGUAACUAACCUGCACGUUGUGCACAUGUACCCUAGAACUUAAAGUAUAAUAAUAAUAAAUAAAACAUAUCAA